GCCUCCCUCCGCCGCCACUCAGACUCCGUACGGGAGGCGAGCAGGUGGGAAGUAGUUGGACAAUGGGCGCAAGCCUGAUCCAGCAAUGCCGCGUGCGUGAAGAAGGCUUCGGUUGUAAGCACUUUAUCAGGAGCGAAAUACUACCGGUUAAUAACCGGUGGGCUGACGGUACCUGAGGAAUAAGCACCGGCUAACUUCGUGCCAGCAGCCGCGUAAUUC
rnacentral:rRNA from 1 species